ACCAGGCAGGCAAGGAGUCCCGGCCACAUAAGCAGUAAAAGCAGGAAACUGUAUAUUCCAUCAACACUCCACCCCUCCCCUUCUUCCCCAGUGUUUGUAUCCGCAGGAUCGUACGAUUUCGUGCAGGAAGAAACCUUAAAAUCUAACCCAAACGCUCAUUUUAUGACGGGGAAACUGAGGCCCAAGAGAGAUGCAGUGAUUUGCCUCAGAUCACACAGGAACUGAUGCAGAUUGGCUAAUGCCCCAGAUUCUUCUUCAUCAUCUUCCAUGCCCCGGAGUGCUCCCAAUUCCCUGCUUGAGGAUGGGAUUAUCCGGAUGUCAUCGGAAGAGGACCACUUGUGCAGGAAGGAGCCAGUUGAACGAGGGGUAGAGAAGAUGUUGGUCUCAUCAUGGGAUAGUCGUCUGGACAAUGGGACCUAGGAUGGGAAGCAGGUAUCCAAGUCUGCCUGGGCAGCCGUCUCUCCUCUCCGCGAGCCUUCUACGAAUCUGCCAGUUCUGAGGACACUCUUCUCCCCAGACCUCCUGCUCUUCUAGGCUCCGAGCCGCGGGGAUCUCCUGUGCGCCGGCCCCCCAGCUCCGGAACUCCGACCCCUCCUUCGGGACUCAGGCAGGUGGAACCCCCGGAGGCACGACCAACCUGCUGGCUUGGCCAAACAAAGCGUUCCUUUCCGAACCCAGUCAAGGAUGCAUUCAAGCCUCCUAAAGAGGCUGAGGCGUCAAUUCUUGUUUACCCUGAAACCUCGCGGAGACUCCUUCAGCUGAGGUGGGGGAGGGAACCACAUCCUCUUCUUUAAUAAAUGAAAACCGGAGGACGCUCUAUUGUCAUUUAGAUGAAGUGAAACGUACACUAUUUCUUCCAAAGGACAGAUAUCGAGGCGGGCUUUUGGUUUUUGCUUGGGAGGGAGGCGGUAAACGGCCAGGGCAGAACAGUGCCUUUACCGUGGGACAAAGUUGCUGUGCUCAGUUCAUUUUGCUUCGCUGUUUUCCUUUGUUAUGAAGAAAGGUUCUAUGGUGGUAGUGGGAGGCACAGGGAGAAAAGUGGUAUAUUUAAAAAAACACUGACACACACACAAAAACACAGAGCAAACCCUUACCUUCUGUCGUGAAAUCAAUAUGAGAGAAUAGCGGGAAGGGCUAGGUAAUGGGGGGGGAGGGGGGAGGCAAAUGACUUGCCCAGGAUCACACAACUGGGAAGUGUUUGAGGUCAAAUUUAACCCAGGACCUCCCUAAGCCAGGCUUGACUCUCAAUCCACUGAGCCACCCAGCUGCCCCCAAUAAUAACACAUUUUUUAAAGAAAAUAAAUUUCUACUCUAAUGUUUAAAAAAAAAAGGCAUAUGAGAAUAACCUCAUUUGUUUUAUUCUAACUUACAAGACUAAUUUAUUUAUUGGGUCUGUUGACCAUUGAAAUGCUGUAACCAUAGUCUAUCUUUAUCUCUGAGAGCUAAUUCUUGUAGGGGAGAUUCAGAGAUAGGGACAGCUAAAUAGUGUUUUGGGAACUGUUUGAAUUGAAUUGAAUUGCUUUGAGGGCCCAAAUCCAGAGUAUUGACAUUUGUCAAUUAUAACUUGGAUGAAAGUGUCUCAUGAAGUUCUGUAAGUCUCUUUGUUGGCCUUAUUCCAUUCAAUAGUUUUUAUCAGCCUGUAUGAAAAUACUCAUGGCAUGACAAUAAAGUUUGUGAAUGUCAUAAAGCUGAGAGAAAUAGCUAAGACAUUGGAUAACUUUCCAAGGACCCAAAAGUAGAGACAAAAGGGCAGGUUGGUAGCACAGAAGACAGAGAACCAGACCUGGAGACGGGAAGUCCUAUAUUCAAAUCUAGCCUCAGACACUUCCUAGCUGUGUGACCCCGGGUAAGUCACUUAACUCUAAUUGCCUAGUUCUUACCAAUUUUCUGCCUUGGAACUGAUACUUAGUAUUGAUUCUAAGACAGAAGAUAAUGGGUUCAGGGGGGCAAAGGAGAGAUAAAUGUAAACUCCUAGACUUGGGUUCAAAAAAUUAACUGUCCUAGUACAAAAUGGAGAAAGAAGUUUGUGUGAAAAAUAACAUGGGGCCCAGAGUGAAUUAAUGAUGUGGCAUUGUUAAUGAGUUUACUGAUGUAGCCACAUUCAUUUUAAUUUAGUCUGCACCAAUAAAGGCAUAAUAUUCCAAAUAAGAGAAGCGAUGGUCCAUUCCAAAGUACUCUGCCAUAGGCAGAUGACAUCCAGAGAAUGUUAUUACUUCUGGGUAUCUUGUUUUAGGAAAGACAUUAGCAAGUUGUUAUAGGAAAAAAAAAAAGGAAGAAAGCACCUAGUAUUGUAAGGAGGAUUCAAAUCCAAGGUAAAGGAUUCAACUGAUAUAAGGAUCAAUAUUUUUAAACCCUUACCAUCUGGCAUAGUAGCAAUUCUAAGACAGAAGAGUGGUAAGGGCUAGACCACUAGGGCUAAUCGACUUGCCCAGGGCCACACAACUAGGAAGUGUCUGAGGCAGAAUUUGAACCCAGGUCCUCCUGCCUCCACACAUGGCACUCUAUCUAUUGGGCUACCUCGAUGUCUCUACAAAGAUCUAUUUAAGGGACUAAGAAUGUUUAGCCUGGAUAAGAAGAGACUUGAGAGUGGAGGUGGCAGAGAAGCAUAAUAGCUGUCUUUUAAGUAUCUGGAGAGUUGUUUUAUGGAUGAGGGAUUAUUUAUUAGACAUAUUAAAUUUUGGCCCCCGUGGACUAAUGGGCAAAAACUACAUGACCGUGGACAAGCCAUUUAACUUCUCCGAACUUGCAUGUUCCUCAUCUCUAAAUGGACAUAAUAAUGGAAUCUGCCUCUCAAAUAUUAAAGACCCAUAAUGGUGAUGGUAGUGACCAGGUGACUUUGGGCAAGUCACUAAAUCUUUGCCUCCUCAUUUUCCUCCUCAGUAGCUGAUCUUUAAUUUAUUUAUCUUCCAAUCUCAUCAUUCUAUGAUUUCCAUUCAAUUGAACUCAAUUAAACACUCAAAUUCAAUUCAAUAUUUACACAUAGGAAAGGAAAAAUGCAUUUAUUAAGUGCCUGCUCUGUACCAGGCACUGUGCACAUAUUAGUUUAUUUGAUACUCAACAAUCACGUUGGGAGGUAGGUGUUAUUAUGAUCUCCAUUUUAAAAUGGAGGAAACUGAUGCAGACAGAGGUUAAGUGACUUGCCUAGGGUCACGUAGCCUAGUGAGAGUCUGGAUUUGAACUCAGCUAUUUAUGAUUCCAAACUCAGCUCUCUAUCCCUUGUAGCAGCACCUGGAUGACUAAAGAGAAGAGAAUUAUGCAACGCUCUGGAGGAGACAAGAUUCAAUGAUACAUAGUUCCAUCUCCUGGAACUUAGAGUUUGGUGGAAGAUACACACAGAAAAGGAUAUGAUACAAAAUGUUAGUAUAACAGCAACAAGCCCAUAGGGCUUACAUCCUGGCUCCAGGGGCAUAGACACAAGUUCUGGCCUCUUGCUAAAGGGCACCUACAACCCUAGUGCAAAUAUCAAUAAUAUGAAAAAGGGUCUUGAUCAAUGACACAUGUAAAACCCAGUGGAAUUGCUCAUCAGUUUAGGGAGGGGGGAGGGAAAGAAAAUGAAUCAUAUAACCAUAGAAAAAUAUGUUAAAUUAAUUAAUUAAAUAAAUUUUCCAAUUAAAAAAAUAAAGGGCACCUACAAUCCAAGACUCACUGUUGGCUCCUUGUUUCCUGUGAUAAAGGGGUGGUAGUGAUGGAGUGAGCCACGCACUGGGACCCCUUCUAGUGACACGUGUGUUCUGGCAUCUCACUACAGGGCACGUGUAACCCAAGGUUCCUGGUUUGGCUUCAUGAUCCCUAAUACCAGGGGCUAUGAAAAAAACCCCCAACAAGAUUUCCAUCUGGGUAAGAGUUGCUGCCUACAGUAGACUUGGAGGAAGAAACUACUUCCACUGAAGUUGUCUCUCUUCCUCUCUGUGGAGGAUGUCACUUAGAGCUUAGUCAGCAUUUCCCUCAAACUUGCAGUGAAAAGGUUAGGAGAUCUCUUUCCCCUCCUCCCCUCCCCUCCAAACGAUGGUGACUGCAAGGUGAUGGGGCAGGGAGAACAAGCACAUGCCUACACAAGGCUAAGAUUGGCUCCCAAGUGCCCAUCUGCCUCUCUGGCUUUGUACUUCUUUCCCCCAUCAAAGAGCAAUCCUGAGCCUGCUGUGUCUGGUCUUGGAAACAACUUCAUGAAUUCAAGAGAUUGAGUCCUCCUGGGUCUGGGCACUGGUUGGCCAGUAGGAAGGGAUCUCCUGGCAAGCCUGUAAAUAUUCCAUGGAAAAUACACGCUGUUGAGCCUAUGACCUGGUUCUAAUACAGUAGAUGGCUGAUGGAGGUGGGCAAGUAUCCGAUUAUCUUUGUCACCUUAGGAUCACAACAGCAAAACUAGAAGGGAUCUGAGAAACCAUCUAGUCCAAUGACCCUUUUAAGUGCUUUUCUAGCUGUGAAAGGUUUUUUAAAAAGUUGAAUUUACAACUUCCUCCAUUUAGGGAGGGGGUUCCCAGCAAGGAACUACUCUUCAGAUGAUAUUUAGACAUCUAUGUAGCACCCUGAGACAUUAAAGUGACUGGACAAGGAACGAUCAGCUCCGACCUGAAAUUUCUAUGAAAUUCCAUCACAAUAAAGAAAAGAUCUCUCUAAUGAAACUUGUAAACUUUCACUCAACACUCCUACAUUUCAAGCAAGAUUCAGCUUGAUUCCAUUCUAGUAUAACGAAUUAAGUAGGAGAAUUCCUUGAAGUUGUUGUCAUGGGAAGCUAUAGAAAUAUAUACGAGGUGACUCAGAGUAAUGAUGCAAUGUGAACCAGGCUAAGUUAGUCAGAGAGGUUUUUGGUUUGUGUUGUUACCAGUUAUUUCAAGGAAUAGAAUGAUAUGAACAGGAAUAUAACUCCACAAGACUCUCUUAAGUUCCCACUCUCCUUUUUUCUAAAUGUCUCUCCACAGUGCCUAGUAAAGACUUUACUUUAUAUUAUAUCUUCUACCCAAAAUUUACAUAUGUUAACAGUUUGAUCACAAGAAAAAUUGCCUUUAAUUUAUUAUUUUAUAAUUUUUGAAUAUGUUAAAUGAGAGUCAGGGUCGUAUAGUGGGUAGAGAACAGGCCUCCAAGUGAGGAAGAACUGAGUUUAAUUAUUGCCUCUGAUACAUACUGGCUAUGUGACUUAGACAAGUCACUAAACACCUUAACAUCCCAGGUAACUCCCCAAAACUAGAUGUUACAGAGCAGACAUCCACCUCCACUGUCGAGAAAGUUCUUCACUAGGAACUCAAAAUGGUAAUGCAAUCAUAGGUCCUGUCAGAAAUAUCUAUACAAGGGACCAAAGGGGUAGCUCAGUGGAUUGAGAGCCAGGCCUAGAGAUGGGAGGUCCUAGGUUCAAAUCUGGCCUCAGACACUUCCCAGCUGUGUGACCCUGGGCAAGUCAUUUAUCCUCCAUUGCCUAGCCCUUACCACUCUUCUGCCUUGGAACUAAUACACAGUGUGGAUUCUAAGAUGGAAAGUAAGGGUUUAAAAAUAUAUAUACAUAUACAAGGGGCAGGUAGGUGGCUCAGUGCAUAGAGAGCUAGGACUGGAGAUGGGAGGAUUUGGGUUCAAAUGUGACCUCAGACACUUCCUAGAUGCCUCACCCUGGGCAAGUCCCUUAACCCCAGUUGCCUAACCUUUAUCACUCUUCUGCCUUGGAACCAAUGCUUCAUAUUGAUUCUAAGACAGAAGGUAAAGGUUUCAAAGACAUAUAUACAUAUAUAUUUGUAUAUGAGAAUAUAAACUAUGAUUAACCAGAAUCCAACUAAUGUGAAUUUUCUGGAUGGUUUUUAAUGAUAAAAAGGCAAACGCAAAAAAAAAAAAGGCAAAGGAACUAUCUGGGGUCAGUAAAAAAAAAAGUCUUUCUAGGCUUCUAUACAUAUAUUUAAAACAAGAAAGAUUAAUGCUCAAAAUGAUCAAACUGUGUCUUUCCUCAAUUACCAAUUAAUAAAGAGAUCAGUUCUGUUCACUGACUUCUACUUACUAAGUCAGUCAAUUGACCAACCAAUAAAUAUUUAUUAAGCACCUACUUUAUGUCAGGCACUGACCUAGGCAUUGAUAUACAAAACCAAAAA